UAAGGAAUAUUGGUCAAUGGACGCAAGUCUGAACCAGCCAUGCCGCGUGAAGGAUGAAGGUCCUCUGGAUUGUAAACUUCUUUUAUCUGGGACGAAAACGGGAUUUUUAUCUCAAUUGACGGUACCAGAGGAAUAAGCACCGGCUAACUCCGUGCCAGCAGCCGCGGUAAUACGGAGGGUGCGAGCGUUAUCCGGAUUUACUGGGUUUAAAGGGUGAGUAGGUGGGCUUAUAAGUCAGUGGUGAAAUCUCCGAGCUUAACUUGGAAACUGCCGUUGAUACUAUAGGUCUUGAAUUCUCUGGAGGUAAGCGGAAUAUGUCAUGUAGCGGUGAAAUGCUUAGAUAUGACAUAGAACACCAAUUGCGAAGGCAGCUUACUACAUAUAAAUUGACGCUGAGGCACGAAAGCGUGGGGAU
rnacentral:rRNA from 1 species